UUAAGCGACUAAGCGUACACGGUGGAUGCCCUGGCAGUCAGAGGCGAUGAAGGACGUGCUAAUCUGCGAUAAGCGUCGGUAAGGUGAUAUGAACCGUUAUAACCGGCGAUUUCCGAAUGGGGAAACCCAGUGUGUUUCGACACACUAUCAUUAACUGAAUCCAUAGGUUAAUGAGGCGAACCGGGGGAACUGAAACAUCUAAGUACCCCGAGGAAAAGAAAUCAACCGAGAUUCCCCCAGUAGCGGCGAGCGAACGGGGAGCAGCCCAGAGCCUGAAUCAGUGUGUGUGUUAGUGGAAGCGUCUGGAAAGGCGCGCGAUACAGGGUGACAGCCCCGUACACAAAAAUGCACAUGCUGUGAGCUCGAUGAGUAGGGCGGGACACGUGGUAUCCUGUCUGAAUAUGGGGGGACCAUCCUCCAAGGCUAAAUACUCCUGACUGACCGAUAGUGAACCAGUACCGUGAGGGAAAGGCGAAAAGAACCCCGGCGAGGGGAGUGAAAAAGAACCUGAAACCGUGUACGUACAAGCAGUGGGAGCCUCUUUAUGGGGUGACUGCGUACCUUUUGUAUAAUGGGUCAGCGACUUAUAUUCUGUAGCAAGGUUAACCGAAUAGGGGAGCCGAAGGGAAACCGAGUCUUAACUGGGCGUUAAGUUGCAGGGUAUAGACCCGAAACCCGGUGAUCUAGCCAUGGGCAGGUUGAAGGUUGGGUAACACUAACUGGAGGACCGAACCGACUAAUGUUGAAAAAUUAGCGGAUGACUUGUGGCUGGGGGUGAAAGGCCAAUCAAACCGGGAGAUAGCUGGUUCUCCCCGAAAGCUAUUUAGGUAGCGCCUCGUGAAUUCAUCUCCGGGGGUAGAGCACUGUUUCGGCAAGGGGGUCAUCCCGACUUACCAACCCGAUGCAAACUGCGAAUACCGGAGAAUGUUAUCACAGGAGACACACGGCGGGUGCUAACGUCCGUCGUGAAGAGGGAAACAACCCAGACCGCCAGCUAAGGUCCCAAAGUCAUGGUUAAGUGGGAAACGAUGUGGGAAGGCCCAGACAGCCAGGAUGUUGGCUUAGAAGCAGCCAUCAUUUAAAGAAAGCGUAAUAGCUCACUGGUCGAGUCGGCCUGCGCGGAAGAUGUAACGGGGCUAAACCAUGCACCGAAGCUGCGGCAGCGACGCUUAUGCGUUGUUGGGUAGGGGAGCGUUCUGUAAGCCUGUGAAGGUGUGCUGUGAAGGCAUGCUGGAGGUAUCAGAAGUGCGAAUGCUGACAUAAGUAACGAUAAAGCGGGUGAAAAGCCCGCUCGCCGGAAGACCAAGGGUUCCUGUCCAACGUUAAUCGGGGCAGGGUGAGUCGACCCCUAAGGCGAGGCCGAAAGGCGUAGUCGAUGGGAAACAGGUUAAUAUUCCUGUACUUGGUGUUACUGCGAAGGGGGGACGGAGAAGGCUAUGUUGGCCGGGCGACGGUUGUCCCGGUUUAAGCGUGUAGGCUGAUUUUCCAGGCAAAUCCGGAAAAUCAAGGCUGAGGCGUGAUGACGAGGCACUACGGUGCUGAAGCAACAAAUGCCCUGCUUCCAGGAAAAGCCUCUAAGCAUCAGGUAACAUCAAAUCGUACCCCAAACCGACACAGGUGGUCAGGUAGAGAAUACCAAGGCGCUUGAGAGAACUCGGGUGAAGGAACUAGGCAAAAUGGUGCCGUAACUUCGGGAGAAGGCACGCUGAUAUGUAGGUGAAGUCCCUCGCGGAUGGAGCUGAAAUCAGUCGAAGAUACCAGCUGGCUGCAACUGUUUAUUAAAAACACAGCACUGUGCAAACACGAAAGUGGACGUAUACGGUGUGACGCCUGCCCGGUGCCGGAAGGUUAAUUGAUGGGGUCAGCGCAAGCGAAGCUCUUGAUCGAAGCCCCGGUAAACGGCGGCCGUAACUAUAACGGUCCUAAGGUAGCGAAAUUCCUUGUCGGGUAAGUUCCGACCUGCACGAAUGGCGUAAUGAUGGCCAGGCUGUCUCCACCCGAGACUCAGUGAAAUUGAACUCGCUGUGAAGAUGCAGUGUACCCGCGGCAAGACGGAAAGACCCCGUGAACCUUUACUAUAGCUUGACACUGAACAUUGAGCCUUGAUGUGUAGGAUAGGUGGGAGGCUUUGAAGUGUGGACGCCAGUCUGCAUGGAGCCGGCCUUGAAAUACCACCCUUUAAUGUUUGAUGUUCUAACGUGGACCCGUAAUCCGGGUUGCGGACAGUGUCUGGUGGGUAGUUUGACUGGGGCGGUCUCCUCCUAAAGAGUAACGGAGGAGCACGAAGGUUGGCUAAUCCUGGUCGGACAUCAGGAGGUUAGUGCAAUGGCAUAAGCCAGCUUGACUGCGAGCGUGACGGCGCGAGCAGGUGCGAAAGCAGGUCAUAGUGAUCCGGUGGUUCUGAAUGGAAGGGCCAUCGCUCAACGGAUAAAAGGUACUCCGGGGAUAACAGGCUGAUACCGCCCAAGAGUUCAUAUCGACGGCGGUGUUUGGCACCUCGAUGUCGGCUCAUCACAUCCUGGGGCUGAAGUAGGUCCCAAGGGUAUGGCUGUUCGCCAUUUAAAGCGGUACGCGAGCUGGGUUUAGAACGUCGUGAGACAGUUCGGUCCCUAUCUGCCGUGGGCGCUGGAGAACUGAGGGGGGCUGCUCCUAGUACGAGAGGACCGGAGUGGACGCAUCACUGGUGUUCGGGUUGUCAUGCCAAUGGCACUGCCCGGUAGCUAAAUGCGGAAGAGAUAAGUGCUGAAAGCAUCUAAGCACGAAACUUGCCCCGAGAUGAGUUCUCCCUGACCCUUUAAGGGUCCUGAAGGAACGUUGAAGACGACGACGUUGAUAGGCCGGGUGUGUAAGCGCAGCGAUGCGUUGAGCUAACCGGUACUAAUGAACCGUGAGGCUUAACCUU
rnacentral:rRNA from 1 species